GGCCGCGUGGUGUAAUGGUGCACACUCUCACAAACAUUUCUCGUAUUAUAUUUACUAUAUGCUUUGUCUUGUUGAGAGAAGAGCGGGUUCGACCCCCGCCGUGGCUG